AGCAGCCGCGGUAAUUCCAGCUCCAAUAGCGUAUAUUAAAGUUGUUGCAGUUAAAAAGCUCGUAGUUGAAUUUCGGGAUCAAAUUGUCGGUCGUGCCUCGGUACGUACUGGUAUUAUUGGUUCCUCCCUUCUGACGAACCACGAUGUCAUUAAUUUGGUGUCAUGGGAAAUCAGGACUGUUACUUUGAAAAAUUAGAGUGUUUAAAGCAGGCUCGCGCUUGAACACAUUAGCAUGGAAUAAUGAAAUAGGACGUUUGAUUCUAUUUUGUUGGUUUCUAGGAUCGACGUAAUGAUUAAUAGGGAUAGUUGGGGCAUUAGUAUUCAAUUGUCAGAGGUGAAAUUCUUGGAUUUAUUGAAGACUAACUACUGCGAAAGCAUUUGCCAAGGAUGUUUUCAUUAAUCAAGAACGAAAGUUAGGGGAUCG
rnacentral:rRNA from 1 species